rnacentral:rRNA from 1 species
AUUGAACGCUGGCGGCAGGCCUAACACAUGCAAGUCGAACGAGUGGCGGACGGGUGAGUAAUGUCUGGGAAACUGCCCGAUGGAGGGGGAUAACUACUGGAAACGGUAGCUAAUACCGCAUACCAUCGGAUGUGCCCAGAUGGGAUUAGCUAGUUGGUGGGGGAAAGGCUCACCUAGGCGACGAUCCCGAGCUGGCAUGAGAGGAAGACAACCCCCACUGGAACUAGGACACAGUCCGGACUCCUCCGGUGGGCAGCAGUGGGGAAUAUUGCACAAUGGGCGCAAGCCUGAUACAGCCAUGCCGCUUGUAUGUAGAAGGCCUUCGGGUUGUAAAGUACUUUCAGCGGGGAGGCGUUACCCGCAGAAGAAGCACCGGCUAACUCCGUGCCAGCAGCCGCGGUAAUAC